ensembl:lncRNA
CCAGCCUCUGCAGUCAGGGGAGCCUGCUCUGUGAGCUGAAGGGCCCUGCCAGUUUCUUAAAAUAUCAAAAUCAGAGCACAUGUAGUCCCCGAGAAGAGAGGGAAACGCAGCCAGGUUCAUGUCGCUGGCGAGCCCCGCGUCCCCGCCCUCUGACUACAUGGGUUUUCCAAGCGGCGACCGUGUGAGACUGGCCUCGCCUUCUCCUCUUGGCACGGCAGGUAGCCUGGCGGGCGAGGGGCCCGUUAUCGUGGUGAUUCUAGCAGGCCCUGGCGGAGUCUGCCGUGUUAUCCUUGAGGAUGAAAUGGGACACGCAGCCCACAUGAACUGUUAGGGCCGCUCUGUCUGUUGCAGGGAAUUGCAGACAAGGGGGCUGACUAGUGGCCUGGCGCCACCCUGGAGGGAGGGAGCCGCUGAGCUCCCACCGGGCCUGGCACCCUGGAGGGAGGGAGCCGCUGAGCUCCCACCGGGCCCGGCAGCCUGGAGGGAGGGUGCCGCUGAGCUCCCACAGGGCCCGGCAGCCUGGAGGGAGGGUGCCGCUGAGCUCCCACCGGGCCUGGCAGCCUGGAGGGAGGGAGCCGCUGAGCUCCCACCUGGCCUGGCAUCAGUCGUGUGGUGUCCAGCACUCUUAUCAGCGACUCGUCAGAUCAGUGCUGAAACAAAAGAUGGGAGCACGUCACAGGGAAGAGUCACGACUCAGAAUCUUCUCAGCGGGGAGGUGAUUUAAGAUUGAAAGAGAAAUUUUAAACAGGGUGCAAACAGCGCUGUCCGUAAAGAAUAAAACUGAUCAAUUGGACCACGUUAAAACUGAGAAUUUCUGUUCAUCAUCGGCACCUAAGGGUGUCAGAAGACCAGACAAAAGGUGAUGUUUGCAACACGUGUCUCUGACUGAAGACUCAUCCAGAUGAAGAACGCUCACUUAUAAAGAAGAGGCUGAGUCAGAGGGAGCAAAAAUAGGCAAAGUAUUUGAACUGAUGCUUCACAAAACAGAAUGUCCAAAUGCCCACAAAGUGUAGGAAGAAAGAGGUGCUCUCUUCUGUCUGCAGGGAGACGCCAGCCCCAGCUGCGGUGGGACACCUCUUCCUAAUGAAUUUCAGCCAUAAUAAAGCCACACACACAUCGUGGCACCCUGGGUGGGUUCCACUCCUCGGAAACGACCCAACGGAAACACACACGUGCUUUCACCAGAAGAUGUGUGUGUCUUUGUGACCCUAGGGAUGAUAGCCCGGGGCUCCUCUGUCCAUGGGAUUCUCCAGGCAAGAAUACUGGAGAGGAUAGUCAUUCGUUUCUCCAGGGGAUCUUCCUGAGCCAGAGAGUGAACCCGGCUCUCCUGCACUGCAGGCAGAUUCUUUACUGUCUGAGCCACCUGGGACACCCAAGAACAUUUACAGCAGUUUUCAACGGCCAGAAACUGGAAAUAGCCAGGAUGUCCACAGCCAGGUAACGGGACACCAAGCCGGGGCGCGCGCAAGACGGAGAGCGGGGAGCAGCGGCCACGGGCCCCCCGCUGUGCUCCCCAGUGUGGCUGAAGGUCCCCGAUGACGGAAGGAGCGAAGGAAGCAGCCAGGAGGAAGCGCCCACUGCACGACCCCAUCCAUCACAGGAACAUCGCAGCCACGGGGAGCUGGUCUGCGGGGCUGGAAGUCACGACGGGUUGCCUUUGGAGCUGGCCUCGAGGAGCGUCUGGAGGUGGAGGGGUUUUCUUUCCCAUCAGGGUUCUGGCUACAAGGGGGCUCUGUCCUGGGCAAAGCCCCCGCACGUCUCAUCCGUGGUGUGCGCUUCCACUCGGAGGAGUUCAGUGAAGGUCUGUAUGGACACAUGGUUCAGCCACGACAGAUGAAUCAGCAGGGGCUUUGCUCUGGACAAACCCAGAGCUGAAUGCAAAGCACGGAAAGACUGCUUUUAGACAUCAGACAGCAGACAGCGUCAGCUGUGAGUCUGAGGGAGGGCAGCUCGGCGAACGCCCUGUUGAGGGCUCCGAGAAACUCUCUGGAAUGCAGGUAGGAUGGAGAUCCAAGCCCACAUGGCCGUGCUGAGCUGGGAAUGCAGGACUGGGGUUCGGGGAGGUUAAGAGGCUGGAAUUCAUGGGGAUGCUGCCAGAAACACCGUGGGACCGCUCUGAAAAUCUCUCUGGGGGGCGUUGGAGCUCUGACCAGCCAGAGAGAGGAAGCCUUCUAAAAACAUCGGUAUUCAUGAGCUCAGGCUUCCCAGGCGGCUCAGUGGCAAAGAAUCUGCUGCCAAGGCAGGAGACUCAGGAAACACAAGUUUAAUCCCUGGGUCGGGAAAACCCCUGGAGGAAAGGGCAUGGCAACCCUCUCCAGUAUUCUUUCCUGAGAAACCCUUGGACAGAGGAGCCUGGUGAGCUAUAGUCCAUGGGGUCACAAAGAGUCAGACACGACUGAGACGCAUGCAUGUAUUCAUCAGCUCAGGUCACCACAACAGAACUCCAUGGACUGGGUGGCUUAAACCAGAGCCAUUUACUGGUCACAGUUCUAGAGGCGGGAUGUCUGAGAUCAAGCUCUCUAGUUCUCCUCUAGAAAGGCCACAGUCCUACUAGAUGAGGUUCCCCACACUAUGACUUCAUUUAAUUUUAAUUACUGCUAAGGGCCCUAUCCCCAGAUACAUCAUAUUGUGGCUUCAAUCUAUGAAUCUUUGUGGGAAGACCAGUUCAGCCCAUAACAACACCGCAGGCAUCGAACGGAAACUCCAGAAGGGCCACAACCUCAGUAGGGGACUAACCAGCCCCGGAGUAAAGGCCACUUUGACUCAUCACUAACAAAGUUCUAAAACAAGCCUCAAAGCUCUGAGUCCUGCAGCGGCCACAUAAGUUCCUACCAGACUGACUCUUCCAAAGAUAACAACUAUAAACACUGGAUUUAAAAAAAAGAAACGGCUGGCUGAAGACCCUGGAGAACAAGCCAAAUCAGGCAGGCUCUGGAAGGGAGUCAGUUGUAGACUAGACUGAGGAAGCUCUCCAUUUCGAUAGCACCCAGCCUGAGCAGAGUCCAGAAGCUGCACCAUGCAGGUCAUGGAAAUAACCCAGAGUCCAAUACAAAUGCACCAUCUCUGUGGCCUGAAGACCAGAGCACAGGGCGUAGGGCAAACUCAGCCACAGAAAGGUUACGGAGGAUUCCAGUAAGGAGUGGAUCCCAAAGUCUGCGUAUAGGUUCCGUGCCAGUCUCUGCCUGAGCCCUGAGCAGGGGAGACUCCAAACAGCCAGCCCAGGUCUAAAACCUCAACUGAGGUUUGAGAUGCAUCCCAAAUGAAGAUUUUUCAGUUCGAACCAUAUCAGAUUAACUGCCUAUCAAAACACUGAUGAUCAAAGCACCUGAAUCCAGAGUCUCCACAGAUUACCUUUACGAAGUCUAAGAUAUGAUCUCAAAUUACUCAGUAUCUGGAGAAAGAAGAAAAUACGGCCCAUUCUCAAGUCACGGAAUCUAACCCCAAGAUGACCGAGACUUGGAAGCAGGCAGGGAUUUCAAAGCUGCUGCGGCCACUGGGCCCAGUGAAAUAAAAGAAAGUGUCCUCACAAUGAAUAAAUGGAUUGGGUGCUGCGGCAGAAAAACAGAAAUUGUAAGGAAGGACCACACACGGAAUUUCUAGAGCUGAAAAAUGCAAAUCUGAAAUUUAAAAGCUCACAAGGGACUUGACAGUAGACCAGGACUACGAAGAAACGUCAGUGAACUUGAAGAGAAAUCAGUAGAAAUUACCCAUUUUGAAGACGUGGGAAGGAAGGAAGAAAAAAAAAAAUAAAAGAAAGGGCUUCAGGGACGCAUGGAAUGGUAUGAACAGUCUGAGAGAUGUGAUGUUGGUGCGCCAGAAGAAGAGAGAAAAUAAAGGAGACAUUACAAUUCUUAAAUACGUUUUUAGAAGAAUCCUUUGAACACGUCGAGAAUGAACGAGGAACGUGGAGAGGCGGCUUCUGUGUCGAGGAGCUGGAGACGGAGAAAAGAGAAGGCUGAGUCCCGCGGGGCCCUUAGUGUGGCCCUGCUCUCCAGGGGCCGCUCAUCAGCCAUCCUGGCGAGAGGCGGGCCUCGCCCACAAACGAUGGGCCUUGCGAUUUCCACCCCCACCCCCCGCCCAGCCCCACACCACGAUUUAUGCCUUUUCCAGACAAAACGCUUGUCCGGCAGGCGCCCUCACCAUCCUCACAGCCUCCGGUAGUGACGGUAUUGAUCACGGCCUCCCCCAGAACACAUGCCAACAGAGGACCACUCCCCAUGGGGUGACACACUCAGGGAGCCAGGGACCCCAUGGGCUCCCCCACGGGGCCCCCGGGCUCUGCCGGGCACCUGUGUCCCCUGGGCUCAGCCGGGCACCUGUGUCCCCCGGGCUCUGCCGGGCACCUGUGUCCCCCGGGCUCAGCCGGGCACCUGUGUCCCCCGGGCUCAGCCGGGCACCUGUGUCCCCCGGGCUCAGCCGGGCACCUGUGUCCCCCGGGCUCUGCCGGGCACCUGUGUCACCCGGGCUCAGCCG